GUGACCUACCAUUACCUGGUUCCUCUCACCGUGACCUACCAUUACCUGGUUCCUCUCACCGUGACCUACCAUUACCUGGUUCCUCUCACCGUGACCUGGUAUGACCUGGUCGUUGGUUAUCCUCUUCAUCUAAAAUGGUGUUGUGAACGAGUGACUACGGGACGGGAACAGCCGAGGAGGAAGGGAGACGAGGAAGAAGAAGGA